ncrna:unclassified sequences S4-Flavobacteria ribosomal protein leader
AAUCAUCGAAGGACAAUGCCUUAAUUCAUGAUU